rnacentral:rRNA from 1 species
AGAGUUUGAUCCUGGCUCAGAACGAACGGCGGCGUGGAUUAGGCAUGCAAGUCGAACGAGANNCAUUGGGUAACUGAUGGGGAAAGUGGCGAAAGGGGCAGUAAUGCAUGGGUAACCUACCUCGGGGACCAGGAUAGCCAUCCUAACGGGUGGGUAAUACUGGGCGAUGUAGCGAGAUCGCAUGGUCUUGCUACGAAAUGAAUUUCGCCUCGGGAGGGGCUCAUGUGAUAUUAGCUAGUUGGUGAGGUAACGGCUCACCAAGGCAAAGAUGUCUAGCGGGUGUGAGAGCACGACCCGCGCCACUGGCACUGAGACACUGGCCAGACUCCUACGGGAGGCUGCAGUCGAGGAUCUUCGGCAAUGGGCGCAAGCCUGACCGAGCGACGCCGCGUGCGCGACGAAGGCCUUCGGGUUGUAAAGCGCUGUCGAGGGGGAGGAAAGCCGCAAGGUCUGACCUAUCCCUGGAGGAAGCACGGGCUAAGUUCGUGCCAGCAGCCGCGGUAAGACGAACCGUGCAAACGUUGUUCGGAAUCACUGGGCUUAAAGGGCGCGUAGGCGGUCGAUCAAGUCCGGGGUGAAAUCUUUCGGCUCAACCGGAAAAGUGCCUUGGAUACUGAUCGGCUGGAGGGAGGUAGGGGCAGCUGGAACUUCCAGUGGAGCGGUGAAAUGCGUUGAUAUUGGAAGGAACGCCGGUGGCGAAAGCGAGCUGCUGGACCUCUUCUGACGCUGAUGCGCGAAAGCUAGGGGACAAACGGGAUUAGAUACCCUAGUAGUCC